rnacentral:misc_RNA from 1 species
GAGAAGAACGCAGCGAAAUGCGAUAAGUAAUGUGAAUUGCAGAAUUCAGUGAAUCAUCGAAUCUUUGAACGCACAUUGCGCCCGCCAGCAUUCUGGCGGGCAUGCCUGUUCGAGCGUCAUUUCAACCCUCAAGCUCUGCUUGGUGUUGGGGCCCUACGGUUGACGUAGGCCCUUAAAGGUAGUGGCGGACCCUCUCGGAGCCUCCUUUGCGUAGUAACUAACGUCUCGCAUUGGGAUUCGGAGGGACUCUUGCCGUAAAACCCCCAAAUUUUCUAAUGGUUGACCUCGGAUCAGGUAGGAAUACCCGCUGAACUUAAGCAUAUCAAUAAGCGGAGGA